AUGUGCUGCUCAAUGCAGAUCGUUGAAUUUGUGUGUUGAAAACUCCACUCCGCCCUCAGUUAAAACCUACAAAAUAAGUGUCCCUUAAGGCUCAGUGCGUGUGCAACAUCACGUCUUUCAGAUAGGAUUUCAAUAUGAACACUCACCUGCUGUCCGGAUGGAUGUAAAGGAUUCGAUGACACUAUUCGAGGAAGAGCGAGGGGGUUCUGGGAUUCGCCGUUGGAAACAGUGGGAAGCCUAGAGCCUCACGCAAAUGUUAAUGGAGUCAGUUGAUGUUGGUUGGGUGGAAUGUGUGUUGCCAACAUUGUUCCAGAAUGAAAUCCAUAGCAUUUUCAUAGCUGAUAAUAAAAAGGAAAUUUAUUUUUUCUUUUCCACGCUAUCAAAUAAAAUCCCAAUGUUUUAAGGUUUAA